UGAACUUCCGCUUUCACUUUAUCUCAGCAUAACAAGUUAGACGCUCAGGAAUGAUUCAGCGAGAAUCCUCCAGUCAGCCAGCUGGGGUGAUUCUUUAUAAGCACCCUGGUCAACAAGUGGAUAUAAUCUGAAUAUAAAUCCUUCUGCACUCCCUAAAUGUGACCUACACAAUAUCAUGUAGUGUCUUCCAUUUGAGCGAUGGGACUGCUGACUUAAGAGUGGAACCCUGUGUUUUCAUCUAUUUGGUGAUAAAGUUACCUUUCUAUACACCUUACCAGGCAGAAUAAACAAUCAGCGCAGUAUGAAGAACUUGAAAUACCCACAUGAGCCAGACCCUGUUCCCUCAUCCAUUGCUUUGAUAGACCCACUUAUCUGAUGAUGAAUGAAAAAAAUGUGUCCUAGUGUCUGUAAUAAACUUUCCAGAUUUCAUCAACUCUUCAUUGAUGGAACUCUUGAAGACAGAAUACAGAAGAUGGCCAUGACCAUCUAGUCCACCAAGAAACCCCCCAUAAUUUCCGGUUGUAUGUAGAUAUACUGCAGAAGACCUCUGAUGUGAAUGAAAUUUAGUUUUGUAAGAGUGGAGCAUGGAGUACAUCCUUUGGAAAUCUUGAAGGAAGCUAACAAUACUCCUCCUUAUCUGCCUCAGGACCUUCUCCAGAGAAGAUGAAAAUGAAAAAAUAGAAUUGACAAUUAGUUCUGACAAGGAAAAAAACACUGAAACAUAAUCUCCAGUAGGUUCCUCCAUAUCGGGAGAUGUGCUGCAUUACCUAGACAAAAAUCCAUUAAGCUAUUACUAACAUCAUGUUUAGAAUAGAAGAGGAAAUAGGGAUGAGGCAGCAAUGGAGUUGGGCACUGGCUAAAGUCGCUACCAUCCUCUACAAGUCAUGUUCAUCUAUGGUUGAUCUCUACCCCCUUCCAUAUGUGGGACUGGAAUUCACAGUUACCCUUUCACUGUGUUAAACAUAAUAUUAUCUUUCUACGCCCUGCAGUAUACCUUAAGUCAUGACGCUAAUUAUCUUCAACCCUCAUGGCCAACUCGGCAUAUAUAUGGCUAUUUCUUUUACAUUUUUUGUAUUCUAAUGCAUGUUCAAAUUUGUAAAUUAAA